GAGUCACAGGGAGAUGCCAGCAGGACCCGGCCUGCCUCUUCCUCAGGGGAGGCCUGGACGAGGCUUCUGGGUCAGGACGUGACCCUGGAUGGGGCACCAGGCAGCUGCAAAGAGAAGAAGAAAGACGUGCUCUCCUCUCUCAUGCCCAUGGCUUGAUGACAUUUUCUUCUAAACACUGAAGAUCCUCAGGUAGCCGGGAUUCUGUGGCUGCUCCGAAACCCCGGCACACGGGUCCAUUUUCCCAGGCGAGUGAGUCCUGGCUCCCCACUCCUGCCUCCUUCCGAUGGUCUCCCCACUCCUGCCUCCUUCCGAUCUAUCUUCUCCCCACUCCUGCCUCCUUCCGAUCUAUCUUCUCCCCACUCCUGCCUCCUUCCGGUCUUCUCC
rnacentral:lncRNA from 1 species